GACGAACGCUGGCGGCGCGCUUAAAACAUGCAAGUCGAACGGAGAUAAUCCUUCGGGAUUAUCUUAGUGGCGGACGGGUGAGUAACACGUGAGUAAUCUGCCUUACAGAGGGGGAUAACGUCUGGAAACGGACGCUAAUACCGCAUAACAUACAGAGAUGACAUCUUCUUUGUAUCAAAGGAGCAAUCCACUGUAAGAUGAGCUCGCGUCCGAUUAGGUAGUUGGUGAGAUAAUAGCCCACCAAGCCAGCGAUCGGUAGCCGGACUGAGAGGUCGAUCGGCCACAUUGGGACUGAGAUACGGCCCAGACUCCUACGGGAGGCAGCAGUUGGGGAUAUUGCACAAUGGAGGAAACUCUGAUGCAGCGACGCCGCGUGAGGGAAGAAGGUUUUCGGAUUGUAAACCUCUGUCUUCGGGGACGAUAAUGACGGUACCCGAGGAGGAAGCCACGGCUAACUACGUG
rnacentral:rRNA from 1 species